UGCAGUCGAGCGGAUGAGGGAGCUUGCUCCUGGAUUCAGCGGCGGACGGGUGAGUAAUGCCUAGGAAUCUGCCUGGUAGUGGGGGAUAACGUCCGGAAACGGGCGCUAAUACCGCAUACGUCCUGAGGGAGAAAGUGGGGGAUCUUCGGACCUCACGCUAUCAGAUGAGCCUAGGUCGGAUUAGCUAGUUGGUGGGGUAAAGGCCUACCAAGGCGACGAUCCGUAACUGGUCUGAGAGGAUGAUCAGUCACACUGGAACUGAGACACGGUCCAGACUCCUACGGGAGGCAGCAGUGGGGAAUAUUGGACAAUGGGCGAAAGCCUGAUCCAGCCAUGCCGCGUGUGUGAAGAAGGUCUUCGGAUUGUAAAGCACUUUAAGUUGGGAGGAAGGGCAGUAAGUUAAUACCUUGCUGUUUUGACGUUACCAACAGAAUAAGCACCGGCUAACUUCGUGCCAGCAGCCGCGGUAAUACGAAGGGUGCAAGCGUUAAUCGGAAUUACUGGGCGUAAAGCGCGCGUAGGUGGUUCAGCAAGUUGGAUGUGAAAUCCCCGGGCUCAACCUGGGAACUGCAUCCAAAACUACUGAGCUAGAGUACGGUAGAGGGUGGUGGAAUUUCCUGUGUAGCGGUGAAAUGCGUAGAUAUAGGAAGGAACACCAGUGGCGAAGGCGACCACCUGGACUGAUACUGACACUGAGGUGCGAAAGCGUGGGGAGCAAACAGGAUUAGAUACCCUGUAGUCCACGCCGUAACGAUGUCGACUAGCCGUUGGGAUCCUUGAAAU
rnacentral:rRNA from 1 species